rnacentral:lncRNA from 1 species
CGUGGAGCUAUAUUUCCAACUACAUUCGGUUCCUUUAUGAAAUAGUGGUCCAGAUUUGGCUCAGAGGCUAUAGUUUGCCCACCCCUGCUUUAUACAACUGGAAGAAAGAUGUCAAUUACCUACCUGCCCCGAGGCAUGGAUGCUGAUUUAUUUUCUCCUCCUCUAGGAUCAAUGAUACACAUUAGAGAGGUGGCUGGUAGGGGACCAGUGUGGCAGCCUCUUGUCCCCAGACUAAGCAAAACCAUCUGGCCCUCGGAGGAAUUGAACCCAUAUUAUCAACCUCAAUUAGCACCAUGUUUUACUCAAUUGAAGAAAUAAAAGUUGCAAUUAAUUCAACUGUCCUCGUCUUAGUCAUUAUCAAUUGCAAUAUUCUAUCCUUAUUUAGCUUCUAAAACCCAAAAGUUCAUGCUCCCGGACAAAGUACAUGGGAAAGUAUGAUAUGCCAGCAUUGUCACUAUUACAACUUGAAUGACUGCAGGAGAUUGUAUUUUUAAACUGCCUCAUCAUAGCCCUAUCCUCAAAUGUAUGCCAGGACUUCCAGAGAAGCAAAGUCACAUGGCUGUUUAUUCAAUGAGAAUUCAUGUUUAUCAUCUCUCAUCCCAAUCCUACUUCCCCUACACUAUUCUCCUGCUUGGCUCCUUGGAAAAGGAAACUGUCCUCCCUUCAGUUACAUUUUUGUCAUGUUCAAUGAGUUAAUUUUGUUGGCUCAGUUAUAUAUUUUAGUAUAAAUUAAAUUCAAGUUUCCUUUAUUUGAGUCUUUGGGCCAGUUGCAUUGCUUUAUACUUUCUGGUGUUCUCAAUUUCAACUUUGCUAGCAUUUAGAAGGCAAAGGCACUGUCUAGCAGAAGUAAUAAUCCUUUUAACUACCUAAUUGCUUCUGUUGGUUACCGCCGUUUGUCUUCUAGACUCAAGGCAUUGACUCUAGAUGACUUCCAAC